rnacentral:rRNA from 1 species
ACGACUCUCGGCAACGGAUAUCUCGGCUCACGCAUCGAUGAAGAACGUAGCAAAAUGCGAUACUUGGUGUGAAUUGCAGAAUCCCGUGAACCAUGGAGUUUUUGAACGCAAGUUGCGCCCGAAGCCAUUCGGCCGAGGGCACGUCUGCCUGGGCGUCACGC